ACCCUAUUGGUGAUUGAACAGAACAUCUGAAUCACUUUUGUUUGAUUGCACAAUGCUUCUCCCUUCCUAUCUGAUUACACAGCAAACAUCAUUAUGCAUGGAGGAUUGAGAUCCCUGAUGAGAUCGGCAACUGCGUCUUGCUGAAAUCUCUGGAUUUAUCCGGUAACUUGCUAUAUGGAGAUAUUCCGUUCUCAACAUCUAGGCUCAAACAGCUUGAGGAAUUGACAUUGAAGAACAAUCAGUUAACAGGGCCUAUCCCUUCAACCCUUUCACAGAUGCCAAAUCUCAAAACUCUGUAAGGGAUCUUGCUCAGAAUCAGCUCACUGGUGACAUUCCGAGGCUGAUUUACUGGAAUGAAGUAUUGCAGUAUCUGCGAGUACUUCCUGCAGUCUGUGUACUCCAUGUAAAUCACAAUUUAUAAGUCUAUCUCAAAUUAGUUCUAGUUCAUCUAGUAAUUUGGUAUGUUUUGGAGUCGCCCAUUAUUGUGACCACACUAUGGGUUGUGUUAUGUAAUGUGAUGGCCACUUUGAUUCUUGUUAUGUAAGAUGGACAUUAGAUAAACAAUAGUUGUUAGCCAAAUCAGGCUAUUGUUUCCUCAAUAACUGCUUCCAUGUAAUGUAAUUGCAUCCAUUGCAUACACUGGAUGUUUUGUUUCUUCAUCUAGUGGCAUUAUGUCAUCCAAUGUAACACUAUUCCAAUGAAAAACAGCCGUUAUUUUGUGCGCCUGAUGUUUUCUGUUUUCUCAAUUUACCCAUUUUUUUGCUUUCACAUGGCCUUUACCGUUAUGCAACUGUAACACCAGUCAGCUUUUCUGUGGUCACAAUUCCAUUUUCUCAACCUUGCUAUGUUAAUUUUUUUCCCUGCGAAAUGAUGAAUGAUGCUGUUUUCUGUAGUGGGUUGUGGGGGAAUUUGCUGACGGGAACAUUGUCUCCUGAUAUGUGCCAAUUGACUGGCCUAUGGUACUUGUAAGUGGAUACUAAUGGAACCUGCAUCAAUGGUUGUCUGGGAAUUUAUAUUUGAGAUUUUGUUCAUACCCUUGUUUGAACCAUCUCUACCGGUGUUGUUGCAGUGAGUGAGGGGCAAUAACAUCUCAGGAACCAUACUGGAUAACAUUGGGAAUUGUACAAGCUACGAAAUCCUGUAAGAUGGCUGGCAUUCCUUUUGGUGUGGGUGUUGUUCUUGUUCUUUCUUCAAUUGUUUAUGGUCUAUUGACUGUUAUGACUUCCAGGCAUAUUUCUUACAAUCAAAUCACUGGAGAGAUUCCUUACAAAAUUGGUUUCCUGCAAGUAGCUACAUUGUCUCUUCAGGGAAAUAGGCUUACUGGGAAGAUUCCAGAAGUGAUAGGACUCAUGCAAGCUCUUGCUGUUUUGUAAGUUUUGUACUGUCUUCACAAAUUCUUUUCAUUUUUUUUUUCAAAAUUUCUUUUCUUCCUAAAUAACUGCAUGCAUCUUUUAUUGUGCUGUGAAGAAAACAUUCCAGCGGGUGCCACUUUUGUAUUUGUAUUAACCUUCAAUGUCGGCUUUCCAUUAAACUAUCAUCAUUAUCUUAAGCUUUCAUGUGGCAAUUUGGGUUGUGCUUUAAAUGGUUGGCAGAAGUCCUAUGAUAUAUCUACUGACCAUACCACACGCUCUCUCAUUUACCUGGCAUUGGAAUUGGCCAUGGGAGAGGUGCAUGCCCAUGACACUGACAGCGUUAUAGAUUGAGCUGGGCACUAGGGCUGCAGUCAAGACAGACCUGACCCAACCGGACUUAAAGCCUGAACACUAAUGACAUGGACUCUGCUGAGCAUGACCACUAAUGGGAAUAUCAGAUUUUUAGAUCCCUCCCAAGACAGAAGAACAACGGGCCAAUGAACCCACCUACGCUCAGGAGAUUCGACGGUUUGGACCUCAUUCAACAAAAGGUUUCAGGAAUCAAAGUAUAAAUCCAUUAUACAAGUCUGAUUUUUGGGAUACCACCUAUAUACAUUUGAAUUCAUAGCAUGGAUGGUUUAGUUUGAGUUUACCAAGUGCGAACCAUGAAAUGCAUAUGCAAGCAUAUGUUACCAAGUGCGAACCAUGAAAAGCAAUGCAUUUUUCAUUUCCUGUACAUUAAGCUGAUAGCCUGAUAUCCAAUGGGCUUGAGGCAGCCCCUUUGUGUUAGGUACUUGACAUGUGCCUCCUUGGUUGCACCUGCAUUGUUAAUAAUUUUUAGGAUAACCCAGAUAAUAGAAAGUAACAAGGUGAUUUUCACUUUAGCAUAUGAAUAUCUGGAAAUCAAGUCAGUUGGAGUCACAUAAAUCCAACACUUGACUUUCUUGUGCAAUAUCUGGAAAUCAAGUCAGUUGGAGCCACAUAAAUCCGGCCUAAAGAGUUGGGGCUAAUACAUCUUGACUAACUGUGACUGAGUGAAGUAUGCUUUGAACUCCCAUAAUCACAGUAAUUUUAUUUUUUUCCUGUAUAUUGGUGACCUUAAGGGAUUGUUUGGACUUUUUAUGGUUAACAUGCAAAUUCUUCGAGCAAAACUGAAAGUUCUGGAUGUCUCAUAUGGAAGAGGGACAGGUAAUACAGCUCUCAUAUAUCAUCAGGGUAAAUUUUUGGCACUCUCAGAAGUUGAUAAGCCUUGUAAGUCUUCUUGUGAUUGACCCUAUUAUUAUUCCUAGAGUGCUACUUUUCUUUCAAACCUUCUUUC